UACCGUGAAUUAGCAUGUGGUCCCGUGAAACACAGGGAUGCCUCAGUAACGGCGAGUGAAGCGGCAACAGCUCAAAUUUGAAAUCUGGCCCCAGGCCCGAGUUGUAAUUUGCAGAGGAUGCUUUUGGUGCGGUGCCUUCCAAGUUCCCUAGAACGGGACGCCAGAGAGGGUGAGAGCCCCGUACAGUUGGACACCAAGCCUUUGUAAAGCUCCUUCGACGAGUCGAGUAGUUUGGGAAUGCUGCUCAAAAUGGGAGGUAUAUUUCUUCUAAAGCUAAAUACCGGCCAGAGACCGAUAGCGCACAAGUAGAGUGAUCGAAAGAUGAAAAGCACUUUGAAAAGAGGGUUAAACAGCACGUGAAAUUGUUAAAAGGGAAGCGCUUGUGACCAGACUUGCGUCCGGUGAAUCACCCAGCUCUCGCGGCUGGGGCACUUCGCCGGCUCAGGCCAGCAUCAGCUCGCUGUCGGGGACAAAAGCUUCAGGAACGUAGCUCUCUCCGGGGAGUGUUAUAGCCUGUUGCACAAUACCCUUCGGCGGGCUGAGGUACGCGCUCCGCAAGGAUGCUGGCAUAAUGGUCAUCAGCGACCCGUCUUGAAACACGGACCCAAGGGAG
rnacentral:rRNA from 1 species